UGACCUUGUGGUACAUUAGGCCUCUGUUCUUUGUGAAUGCAUCAAAAUCCUGAAGCAAUGAAGCAGGCAAAAAAAAGUGACAGAUAGGAGAUCUUCACAAGUUGGGCAUAAACCUGAGCACUGGUCGGUCUAUAGAAGAUAUCUUGAAUUUUAUCUGCUUGAAUCAAAGCUAACAGAAUUUCAUGGUGCAUUCCCUGAUGCUUAGCUUCCCUCCAAGA